GGAUGAACGUUGGCGGCGUGCCUAAUACAUGCAAGUCGAACGAAGACUGUAGUAAUACUGUCUUAGUGGCGAACGGGUGAGUAACGCGUGGGUGACCUACCCCGAAGUGUGGGAUAACAGUCCGAAAGGAUUGCUAAUACUGCAUAAUAUCCAAGAGAUUAGAUGCUUUUGGAUUAAAGGAGUAAUUCGCUUCGGGAGGGGCCCGCGUCCCAUCAGCUAGUUGGUAAGGUAAUGGCUUACCAAGGCGAUGACGGGUAGGGGACCUGAGAGGGUGGCCCCCCACAAUGGAACUGAAACACGGUCCAUACACCUACGGGUGGCAGCAGUAGGGAAUAUUGCAAAUGGGCGAAAGCCUGAUGUAGCAACGCCGCGUGUGCGAUGAAGGUCUUCGGAUUGUAAAGCACUUUUUGGAGGGAUGAGGAAGGACAGUACCUCCAGAAUAAGCCUCGGCUAACUACGUGCCAGCAGCCGCGGUAACACGUAGGAGGCAAGCGUUAUUCGGAUUUACUGGGCGUAAAGCGCGUGCAGGCGGUUUGGAAAGUUGGAUGUGAAAGCUCCUGGCUCAACUGGGAGAGGUCGUUCAAAACUUCCNGACUUGAGAGUGGUAGAGGGAGGUGGANNNCCGGGUGUAGUNNUGAAAUGCGUAGAUAUCCGGAGGNACACCAGUGGCGAAAGCGGCCUCCUGGACCANNNCUGACGCUCAGACGCGAAAGCUAGGGUAGCAAACGGGAUUAGAGACCCCGGUAGUCCUAGCUGUAAACGAUGUGAACUUGGCGUUGGUGGGUUUAAAUCCAUCAGUGCCGAAGCUAACGCGAUAAGUUCACCGCCUGGGGACUACGGCCGCAAGGUUAAAACUCAAAGGAAUUGACGGGGCCCCGCACAAGCAGCGGAGCAUGUGGUUUAAUUCGAAGCAACGCGAAGAACCUUACCAGGUCUUGACAUCCAGGUAAAGCUGCAGAGAUGCAGUGUGUGCUUGCACAAUCUGAGACAGGUGGUGCAUGGUUGUCGUCAGCUCGUGUCGUGAGAUGUUGGGUUAAGUCCCGCAACGAGCGCAACCCUUGCCGAUAGUUACUAACGGGUAGAGCCGAGGACUUUAUUGGGACCGCCGGGGACAACUCGGAGGAAGGUGGGGACGACGUCAAAUCAUCAUGCCCCUUAUGACCUGGGCUACACACGUGCUACAAUGGCCGAGACAGAGAGAAGCGAAGGCGCGAGCUGGAGCGAAUCUCAAAAAUGCGGUCACAGUUCGGAUUGUGGGCUGCAACCCGCCCGCAUGAAGCAGGAGUUGCUAGUAAUCGCGAAUCAGCAUGUCGCGGUGAAUACGUUCCCGGGCCU
rnacentral:rRNA from 1 species